rnacentral:tRNA from 1 species
GCUUACGAAGCUAAUAUUAAAUAGCUCUGGUCUUGUAAACCAAAGAUAGGGAAAUUCCCCUUAAGCU